AUAGUGCACCCCUUUUUGACUGCACCUGAGGUGGAGCACUUCAGUUGCCCUCUCCUUGGUAUACCACUGAAGAUUUGAAGGUCUCCAGGCUCCUGGCUUGCUCCAGUCUGCCUUUCAGGCCAUGUGAUGAUGGAUGCAUCAUCAAUAAGCCAAGGAUCACCAAAGAAGCUACCAAAAGCUAGGAAGAGACAAGGAGUGAGUCUUUCCCAGAGCCUUCAGAGGGAGCAUGGCCCUGCUGAUACUUGAUUUUGAACUUCUAGCCUCCAAAAAU